AUCUGUAAAUUUUUAAAAAAUUUGAAAAUUAUUUGAUACUUCAUUUUAUUAAUUCGAAUUAAUGUAUAAAAUGAUUUUAUAAUUAUCCAUCAAUUUGAAUUAAUGAAAUGAAGUAUCAAAUAAUUUUUAAAUUUUUUAAAAAUUUGCAAAU
rnacentral:miRNA from 1 species